rnacentral:rRNA from 1 species
AGCAGCCGCGGUAAUUCCAGCUCCAAUAGCGUAUAUUAAAGUUGUUGCAGUUAAAAAGCUCGUAGUUGAAUUUCGGGAUCAAUUUAUUGGUCGUGCUAUUGUACGUACUGGUAUUAUUGAUUCCUACCUUCUGACGAACCAUGAUGUCAUUAAUUUGGUGUCAUGGGGAAUCAGGACUGUUACUUUGAAAAAAUUAGAGUGUUUAAAGCAGGCUCACGCUUGAAUACAUUAGCAUGGAAUAACGAAAUAGGACGUUUGAUUCUAUUUUGUGGUUUCUAGGAUCGACGUAAUGAUUAAUAGGGAUAGUUGGGGGCAUUAGUAUUCAAUUGUCAGAGGUGAAAUUCUUGGAUUUAUUGAAGACUAACUACUGCGAAAGCAUUUACCAAGGAUGUUUUCAUUAAUCAAGAACGAAAGUUAGGGGAUCGAAGACGAUCAGAUACCGCCGUAGUCUUAACCAUAAACUAUGCCGACUAGGGAUCGGAUGAUGUAAUUUUUAAUGACUCAUUCGGCGCCUUAAC